UAGCUUAUCCAAAUGCUUCUUAGUAUGAAGAUUUUGCCUAGACAUGCCUCUAUCCUUUUGGAGUUCUCAUGGUGUCACUUAUUGUUGUGAGACCAUUUCCUGUCUUCGAUCCGUUACUUGAUAUGAAAAUAUAGUUUAGACAAUGUCUAAUCAACCCAAGCACUCAUCUCACAUCUUUUUUUCCAUCUCUUCUUUGACCACUCUGUGUGCAAGCUGGCUAUGCAUUUCCUUGCUAUGUCGUGGAGUAAUUUGUCCCUUUGAUUGAUUUGGCAGGAUGAUGGUUUUCUUCAUACUACAUUUGGAACUCUAUUAUGUUGCUCCCGAGGUCCUUUACGAUAGAGGCAAUGAUGGGAAACGACAGAUCCGUGGUCUUGUGGAGUAAUACUCCUCGUAUUGCUUGCGGGUUCCUUGCCUUUUGAUGAUUCCAAUCUUAUGAACCUGGAUAAAAAGGUCAGCAUUUUUUUUAAUUUCAUUAAGUGUACUUCGAUGCUCGACGCCUGG